UACGUAGGGGGCAAGCGUUUGUCCGGAUUUAUUGGGCGUAAAGAGCGUGUAGGCGGCCAAGCAGGUCCGCUGUGAAAACUCGAGGCUCAACCUCGAGACGUCGGUGGAAACCGUUUGGCUAGAGUCCGGAAGAGGAGAAUGGAAUUCCUGGUGUAGCGGUGAAAUGCGCAGAUAUCAGGAAGAACACCCGUGGCGAAGGCGGUUCUCUGGGACGGUACUGACGCUGAGACGCGAAAGCGUGGGGAGCGAACAGG
rnacentral:rRNA from 1 species